rnacentral:rRNA from 1 species
UACGGGGGGGGCAAGCGUUGUUCGGAAUUACUGGGCGUAAAGGGUUCGUAGGUGGCUUGCUAAGUCAGACGUGAAAUCCCUCAGCUUAACUGGGGAACUGCGUCUGAGACUGGUGAGCUUGAGUGCAGGAGAGGAACGCGGAAUUCCAGGUGUAGCGGUGAAAUGCGUAGAUAUCUGGAGGAACACCGGUGGCGAAGGCGGCGUUCUGGACUGCAACUGACACUGAGGAACGAAAGCCAGGGGAGCAAACGGG